rnacentral:rRNA from 1 species
GACGAACGCUGGCGGCGUGCUUAACACAUGCAAGUCGAACGGAAAGGCCCUGCUUUUGUGGGGUGCUCGAGUGGCGAACGGGUGAGUAACACGUGAGUAACCUUCCCUUGACUUUGGGAUAACUUCAGGAAACUGGGGCUAAUACCGGAUAGGAGCUCCUGCUGCAUGGUGGGGGUUGGAAAGUUUCGGCGGUUGGGGAUGGACUCGCGGCUUAUCAGCUUGUUGGUGGGGUAGUGGCUUACCAAGGCUUUGACGGGUAGCCGGCCUGAGAGGGUGACCGGCGACAUUGGGACUGAGAUACGGACCAGACUCGUACGGGAGGCAGCAGUGGAGAAUAUUGCACAAUGGGCGGAAGCCUGAUGCAGCAACGCCGCGUGCGGGAUGAAGGCCUUCGGGUUGUAAACCGCUUUAGCCUGUGACGAAGCGUGAGUGACGGUAAUGGGUAAAGAAGCACCGGCUAACUACGUG